CCCUUAGAUGUUCUGGGCUGCACGCGCGCUACACUGAUGCGAUCAACAAGUUUUUCCUAUGUCGAUAGACACGGGUAAUCUUUUGAACUCGCAUCGUGAUGGGGAUAGAUUAUUGUAAUUAUUAAUCUUCAACGAGGAAUUCCUAGUAGGUACAAAUCAUCAGUUUGCAUCGAUUACGUCCCUGCCCUUUGUACACACCGCCCGUCGCUGCUACCGAUUGGUUGAUCUGGUGAAUUAUUCGGACUGCCGGCUGAAGGGGUUUCCUCAUCUGCCAGCGGAAAGUCUUGUUAACCCUAUCAACUAGAGGAAGCAGAAGUCGUAACA
rnacentral:rRNA from 1 species